rnacentral:lncRNA from 1 species
AUCUAAGCCUAAACCCUAGGCAUCCAAUGGUCAAAAAAUUGAUAGCAAAUACAAUUUUCAUAUUAUUAAUAACAUUCUAGUUCCACUCUCUCUCUCUCUCUCUCUCUCUCUCUCUCUCUAUAUAUAUAUAUAUAUAUAUAUAUAUAUAUAUAUAUAGAAUUCAGCUACUAUCUUUUUAGGACGACAGAGGUUUUCGCCUUCCUAAAUCGUUUUAGAUGAUAGAAAUUUCGAAUUGAUGAUUGAAACCAUUAAAGUUGAUCUAGAGUAGGGAUGUCAAUGGGUAUGGAUAUCAUAUAUAUAUAUAUAUCCCGAACCCGAAUGAAACGGAUAUAUUCGAUACUAAAUGAAUAUAGAUUUGGAUAUGGAUAUCAAAUAGAAACCCGACGGAUAUGGAUUCGAAUAUGAAUUUUGAUUGUACUCGACCUGAACCUGAACCCGACCCGAACCCGAAUUUAUUUUGUAUUUUAAAAAUUUAGAUUUAAUAUAAUGCAUUUUGAAAUAUUGGAAAAAGAAAUAAUUGUUUCGGGUUCAAAUUUUCGGGUUCGGGUUUCAGAUUUUUGAUCGGGUUCGGGUUUGGAUAUGGAUUUUAAAAAUCCAUUGGGUUCAGAUUCGGGUCUCGUUGGGUUCGGGUUUGGGUUUUUGAAAAUCGGCCCGAAUCCGACCCGUUGACAUAUCUAAUCUAGAGUAUUUAAAGCUAAAUUUUAGAAAUUUUAAAAAUUGUUAUCAAGUCCAUCGAAAAGUCAAAAAAUAAACGAUAAAAAAUAAAUAAUCUUGUGAAAAUAGAUGUUAGACUUUUUCAAUUCAUGAUCAUAGUUAUCGAAUGUUAUCUAAAUAGUAUCAAAAAUUUUUUACUAAAAAUUCAAACGGUUUGAACUGCUCUACAGGAUUAAACAAAUAAACGGCUUAUCUAUUCCAUAAAAAACUAUCGACUUUAUGAUACUUUAAUUACUAUGUAAAUAAUUUAUAAAAUUUAGUUUCUAGAUGCUUUAAAUAUUCGAGAUCAAUUUUAAUAAUUCCGAUUAUCUAUUCAGAAUAUCAUUUAAAACAAUUUAGGAGGACAAAUGCUGGAUAUAUAUAUAUAGAGAGAGAAAGAGAAAGCGAGAGAGAGAGAGAGAGAAAGAGAGAGAGAGAGAGAGGAGAGAGAGAGUCCGGCUACUAUACUGUCGAUAGUACUAAGCGCUUGGUACUAUCGAGUUUUCUAUCGUUAGAUCUACCAUUUGAUCAUUUCAUCCGUUAGAUUAUACUAUUCAACCAACCACCUACUCAAUUCUAGAGGACCACUAUCAUCUUAAUCGCACAUCUUUUCAUCCAACGGCCGAAAACUCGAUAGCACUAAGCAUUUGGUACUAUUUAUAGUAUAGUAGCAUAAUUUUCUCUCUCUAUAUAUAGCAGGGCUAUUGUGCUAUUAGGAGUACUGCAGCGCCGGUGUGCUCCUAACUUUCCAGCAUCCAUCAAUUUUGAUGGGUGGUUAGGGUGAGAGAGAAAAAAAAAAUUGAAGAGAAAUUGGGUUUCUCAAUUUCUCUUUUUCCUUGAAUUUCUUUUCAAUUUCUC